CCAGAAAGUCCUUCUCAAAUUCCACUCUGUCCUCUCCAGUGUCUUCAAAUCCAUGACUUGGAGUUCUUCCUCAUUGAUACCUUUACAAACAUAACUGAGACACCGUGUGGGAGACAUGUGCUGCUCUGUCUGCUCUGGGCCUACUAUCCUGACGUCAACAUUUAAUGGAACCCUCCUUCAAGCUGCAUUGCUAGAAGCUAAGUGCCCAGUCUCUAUGGGUUUCUCCUGCCAAGGUGUAAAGGCCUUCUCACUUCCUUCAGAGUAGUGGAGUGGAUGUUAAAUGACAUCAAAAUCAGAAAGCUUGAGGUAGGACUUCACUUCUGACAUUGAUAUGGCCUCAGACUAUACACUGCUCCAAAUAGAACACUUUAAUGACACACAGGAACCAUGAGAACUAUCUACCCGGACCUUCAGCAAUGACAAGGCUUUCUCUUCCCACCAAGGAGGAGUCCCACACACAAAUGAUUCUCAUCUAGACACAGCUCUGAUGCCCCAUCUAACAUACAAGAAGACAUCCCCCAAGGCCCACCUAUAAAUACCGUCAGUGAGAUACCUACCAGGAUCUUGGCCCAGUUCACAUCUCAACCCUGUAAGCCACAUACUGAGCAGAUUCAUGG
rnacentral:lncRNA from 1 species